rnacentral:rRNA from 1 species
UACGUAGGGUGCGAGCGUUAAUCGGAAUACUGGGCGUAAAGCGUGCGCAGGCGGUUUUGUAAGCCAGAUGUGAAAUCCCCGGGCUUAACCUGGGAAUGGCAUUUGGGACUGCAAGGCUCGAGUGCGGCAGAGGAGACUGGAAUCCUGGUGUAGCAGUGAAAUGCGUAGAUAUCAGGAGGAAUACCGAUGGCGAAGGCAGGUCUCUGGGCUGACACUGACGCUCAUGCACGAAAGCGU